AGGUCAUGUGGCUUGGCCCCAUUGUCUUUGGACCUGAGAUGGCUUGAAUACAUGGUGGAGGAAGCCAUUUACCUUAUGGCAACCAAGAAGCAAAAUGAGAAAGAAUAUGACACAAUACACACGGUGGGGAAGAAAUCCAGCCUAUUUGGUGAAAGAAAAAUAAAUCAAAGUAUAAAAACAGAGCCUCCUUUUAUGCACUUGCAGAACUGACAGUAACCAGAUGACAUCAAAAGUCUCAGUUUGUUAAGUAAUUUUAAGAGGGGAUAGGAAGAAGAGCAAAUUUAUGGCUGGGUUCCAAAAAAGCCUUGGCAUGAGCUCCAAAUCUGCUGCCCACACUUGCAGUUGUGGAGAGCUACUCAGGAAGAGCAUUUCCUUCACAGAUGAACAAACUCUGCACUUGAACUCAAUAGUUCAAAGCCCACUUUUUUUUUGAGUUACCAACUGGUGAUCAGAGCAGACUUAAUUCCAAGAAAACUUGAGUGGCAUGUAGGCAAAAAGUAAACACUGGUGAUUCUGUGCUGCCUUCUCAUGAAAAACUAUUGUGGAAGGAUAAAUAAAAUCUUUCAAUCCCCAUAUCUUUUGGAGACUUUAGAAAUGAACACAUUGAAGCUAAAUAGAAGACACGAAGAGUUUCAGAAGAAAUAACUCGUGAUUUUAUAAAUGCAGUUUAUUAGGCUCACACCAUGUUCUUAAAUGACACCCACAUUGGCCAGUAUCAUCUUCUAAC